GAUGAACGCUGACAGAAUGCUUAACACAUGCAAGUCUACUUGAAUUUGGGUUUUUUAACUUCGAUUUGGGUGGCGGACGGGUGAGUAACGCGUAAAGAACUUGCCUCACAGCUAGGGACAACAUUUGGAAACGAAUGCUAAUACCUGAUAUUAUGAUUAUAGGGCAUCCUAGAAUUAUGAAAGCUAUAUGCGCUGUGAGAGAGCUUUGCGUCCCAUUAGCUAGUUGGAGAGGUAACGGCUCACCAAGGCGAUGAUGGGUAGCCGGCCUGAGAGGGUGAACGGCCACAAGGGGACUGAGACACGGCCCUUACUCCUACGGGAGGCAGCAGUGGGGAAUAUUGGACAAUGGACCGAGAGUCUGAUCCAGCAAUUCUGUGUGCACGAUGACGUUUUUCGGAAUGUAAAGUGCUUUCAGUUGGGAAGAAAAAAAUGACGGUACUAACAGAAGAAGUGACGGCUAAAUACGUGCCAGCAGCCGCGGUAAUACGUAUGUCACGAGCGUUAUCCGGAUUUAUUGGGCGUAAAGCGCGUCUAGGUGGUUAUGUAAGUCUGAUGUGAAAAUGCAGGGCUCAACUCUGUAUUGCGUUGGAAACUGUGUAACUAGAGUACUGGAGAGGUAAGCGGAACUACAAGUGUAGAGGUGAAAUUCGUAGAUAUUUGUAGGAAUGCCGAUGGGGAAGCCAGCUUACUGGACAGAUACUGACGCUGAAGCGCGAAAGCGUG
rnacentral:rRNA from 1 species